UCCUCCAGAUUGUCUCUGGCUUCAAAAAAUAAAAAUGGAAAACAUUAUGAAAAAUACAUUACAAGGGUCAUUAAAAAAACAGACCAAAUAAAAAUGAACUUUAAAAAAAUUUCUUUUCAGGACUGAGGUUGAACCCAGUGCCACAUGAAUUCUAGGUAAGCCUUUUUACCACUGAGCUGCAUCUCCAGCCCUGCUGUAUUUAUUUUGAGACAAUGUUUCACCCAAUUGGACAGGAUGGCCUUGAGGUUCUUCUGUAGCCUAGGCUGGUUUUUGAGCUUUCAAUCCUCUUGCCUCCUGAGCAGUUGGGAUUAAAAGCAGGAGUCUUCAGGCCCAUUUAAAAUAAAAUUUUUAGCAAUCUUUAAGUCUGUCCCACCCAUUUGAGUUUUUUUGAGACAGGGUUUCUCUGUGUAGUUCUGUCUGUCCUGGAACUUGCUUUGUAGACCAGGCUGGCUUUGAACUCACGGAGAUACACCUACCUCUGCUUGGAUUAAAGGUGUUCACCACCAAUGCCAGGCUUGAGUUAUUUUUAUAGAAUCUGUUGUAACAAAAUCUUUCUACUAGAUACAUCUACUACCCUCUUAAGUGAACUUAAGAAUAUGAAAUAAAUUCUUAAAGCCAAAAGCAGAGACGGAAGCAGAGUGAGAAUCUGAUUCAGAAUGACCAACUAUACCAUCUUCUUUAAGGGCCUUCAAGCUAACAGAGUGACAGCAGUAAAGAAAGCAUUGAAUGAACUCAGAUUGCGGAGAAACCAUAGCAGCAAAUGCCAAUGCUAAACCACGAGAUGCCAGACUAAGAAUCAUGUGACCAUGGUUUGGCACACUGUUGUUUAGAGUCACGUGACUACAGUCUGACACACUGUCAUUGCCUUUAGGAUCAUGUGACUAUGGUCUGACCCACUGUCAAGAGGUAAUCAUCUGUCUUUUCCUUUAUGCAAGGCUAUCCCAACUCAAUUCCCAAACAGGUAAGUCAUAGAAUUCUUCAAAAACACUGGAGAAAACAGGGACUGGAGAGAUGACUCAGCGGUUAAGAGAGCUUGCUGCUCUUUCAGAGGAUUCAAGUUCAAUUCCCAAGCACCCAGUUCCAUGAGACCUGAUGUCCUCUACUGGUCUCUGCAGAUACCAGGAACUUGCCUGCUGCAAACUUUUCAAGAUGGAUAUGGUUUUAGCACCUUCCUUACUUGACUGGCUGUCACCUGGCCUUCUGCUUGAGGACCUUUUGAACAUCCCCAUGUCUAAUGGAAAGACUGUCCUGAUGCUUUUGUGCCACCAAAUCUGUUUUGAGGCUACUCUGAAUCUGGUCUCGGCUCUCGCUAAGUUGUUUAGCUGGCAUCUUCCUGCUAGUGUGGAGCUUGGAUCCUGAAUCCCAGCCAAUGAUCAGACUACUGACACUUCCAGAACUACAACCAGCCUUUCUGCAAAGGUGAAAGCAGGAGGUAAACUCUGCUCACUUCUCACUGGCUCAAGUGUGGUAAGCUGUCUAGGGAGAACAUCAAUAUUUCUAAAUGCUGAAACUGGUGCUAGAUGUACUAAACCAACUUCCUACAGUAUUCCUACCUCACUCCUGAACAUGCUUCCUAAGUACGUAAGUCUUUACCUCUUCAAGCAGAUGCCUAAUUCUGAGGAUAGAAACAGGUUUUAAUUACACCGUAUUUCCAGGGAUGAGCAUUGGUUUUGACUGGAUGAAGGCCUGUAUCGGGUAAGAUGAAAUACCUGAAAGCCCAACUCAAGAUAGUUUAAAACAAAACUCCAAACCAAAUAAAACCCCAGCAAAGUCCAAGGCUCAUGCCAUGCCCUAAGGAGCUCAUCUUUGGUAUUUUGCUCUUCUCAAUGUUCUGUGUGGCUCCAUGCCCAGAAGAAGUUCACAAUGGGAAGUCCCCAGUUCAGCAAGAACUUUAGUUCUACCUGGACCCGAUGGUCUGGACCUGAUUCAUGUGCCUAACCUGAGGCUGGCUCAUUGGGCAGGGACAGGUCCUUGGCUCGCCCGUAAAAGUAGGGGUGAGGGAACCAACUGCUCCAAGUCCAGAGGACUGAGAUGUGGACACACACAUGCAUUCCUGCAAGGGAGGUGGGAAUCAUGAGCACUGGACAGUCAAAGCAAUUCUAUUUUUUCUUUCAUUGCCAAAUUCCAUGUAUCUUGUCUUUAGAUUGGACCCUGUGGCAUAUGGGUACCGGCCCACACUGGACUUGUUCAGUGACUGACUGGUCUUCCGGAGGUCAGGGUCACACUUCCUGUGCGAAGUCUUCCUCAGAGACUCCAUUUCUGCAGUGUACAUUUUGGCUCUGCUUGUCCCAUCCCCACUCUGUUUCCAGUAAGCUUCACAGUGCAUGCAAUGUCCUUUUUAGACUCUUUGGCAACUAGUGAGUCAUGUAUACAAAGAACUAUUCAAAGCCAAAUGUGCUCAGUCUCUAAGAGAGUACUGAAAAGAUGUUUGUCAAGCUGAGAUAAAGGCCUACAACAUCUGCCUGGAGCAUGAGAGCAGACAGGCCAUCCAGGGACUAUGAAGCAGCCAGGACAAAGUCAAGUAGAAGAUGCAUAAUGGUACCACCUGUGAGGAAAGCACAGCCACUAACAUUAGUGGCCACCAUAUUUCAGACCCUACUCUAAGACUAGUAAUUCAUUGCAUCUUCAAAAUAUGCUGUCAAGCAGGUAAAAUUACUUCCCUUAUUUAAAUAAUUUGCUCAAAGUCACAUGGUCAAGUAGAAUGCAACUGUGUUCCUAUCAAUGGCAAGGUCAGGUACAGUGUUAAUCUCUGGGUUAGAAUUCUUUGAGCAGCUGUCAUCUUUCUCUGAGGACUCAAAUAUUCUGAAAGCAGAACCGUGUCUUGUGUUCACUUUUGUAUUUCUUCUAGAACACCUGUAUUUAAGUAGACGUUAAAUAUAUACUUGCUUCAAAUAAGCUACCCUCACAGUAAACCAGUGUUUUUAAAAGCAUCAUGUUACUGGAGUGAGCACUGGUCCACCAACCCAGGUUAGAGUAGUACAGACAGGAAGUUAUGGACCCACGUAAUGGGAGGGUUUCAGUUCUGACUGUGUGACUGGGCAAGUGACCAGGCUUUAAGCCACAGGGCUUCUCUAUGGUGAAAGAGAGGAAAACUGGAUCUAACAUGCUCCACAAAGACACAGGAGACAUACAGUAACUGCAAAUAAGGCUUACUAAAUUCUUACAAAUAUUUAAGAGAAAAGCUGCGACAAGAAGCCAAGGAAUUUUUCUUAGUUUCACCACAAUUUCAAUAACCAAUGCAUUAGGACAGAAUGGACAAGGUCAGUUUCAGCGAUAACCAGAGAUUAUUUUUAGAACAUCAAAAGGGUGGAAAACAGAGCUCAUCUCAUAGAUAUGCAUGUUUGGACAUACGUGAAACGAGACACCAGAGUUACUGUGAUGGACUCACAAGAGAAUUCUUUACAGGAGUAACUGUUCCUGGGGAUAAGUCCCGGGCUCUGGGCCUCCUAUUCACGGGAAGAGUUUGCCAUGUGUGACCCAAGGGCUCGUCACAGUCUCUGAGACAAUUUCUUUCUCUCUAAAAUGGACACAAUCUACUUCAAAGAACUGUUAUGGAGAUUAAGUAAAACCAUGCGUGUAAGCCGGCUAUGCACCACAUAUUAGCGAUUACCAUACCACCUCUGCGGGAGAGUUGUUUCUACAAAGAAGAGCCAUUGUUUCUCCGGCCAGACCCCACUCACGAGGUCGAGGCGU